rnacentral:rRNA from 1 species
UACGUAGGGGGCAAGCGUUGUCCGGAUUUAUUGGGCGUAAAGAGCGUGUAGGCGGCUAGAUAGGUCCGUUGUGAAAACUCGAGGCUCAACCUCGAGACGCCGGUGGAAACCAUCUAGCUAGAGUCCGGAAGAGGAGAGUGGAAUUCCUGGUGUAGCGGUGAAAUGCGUAGAUAUCUGAAGGAACAUCAGUGGCGAAAGCGACUUCCUGGACCAAUACUGACGCUCAUGUGCGAAAGCGUGGGGAGCAAACAGG